rnacentral:tRNA from 1 species
GAGCACAUCGUCUAAUGGAAGGACAUCGGCUUAUUAUGCCGGAAAUGCAGGUUCGAGUCCUGCUGCGCUUU